rnacentral:rRNA from 1 species
AAUCUUCCGCAAUGGACGAAAGUCUGACGGAGCAACGCCGCGUGAGUGAUGAAGGUUUUCGGAUCGUAAAACUCUGUUGUUGGGGAAGAACAAGUAUCGGAGUCACUGCCGGUACCUUGACGGUACCUGACGAGAAAGCCACGGCUAACUACGUGCCAGCAGCCGCGGUAAUACGUAGGGGGCAAGCGUUGUCCGGAAUUAUUGGGCGUAAAGGGCACGCAGGCGGUUAUUUAAGUCUGAUGUGAAAUCUUGUGGCUUAACCACAAGCGGUCAUUGGAAACUGGAUAACUUGAGUACAGAAGAGGAGAGUGGAAUUCCAUGUGUAGCGGUGAAAUGCGUAGAGAUAUGGAGGAACACCAGUGGCGAAGGCGACUCUCUGGUCUGCAACUGACGCUGAGGCGCGAAAGCGUGGGGAGCGAACA